rnacentral:lncRNA from 1 species
CCCGAACUACGAGGUUUUGAUCCUAAUCUUUUUAUAAGAUGGUACGUAGGCAAUGGGUUCAUCCAUUCAAACACAAAAAAAAAUGUAAAUAAACUUGUAUAUUCUUAUCUCAUCCCUUCAAUCAUGUUUGCACAAAAUAAACUUUCAAAAAAUACCAACCUUACAACAAAUGUGAAAAGGGCUCCCUAGGAGUACCUAGGAUGUUUUGGGUGCCUAACACCUUCC